GACAGAGGGUGCAAACGUUGUUCGGAAUUACUGGGCGUAAAGCGUGCGCAGGCGGUUCGUUAAGUUCGUUGUGAAAGCCCCGGGCUCAACCUGGGAACUGCAAUGGAAACUGGCGGGCUUGAGUGUGGCAGAGGGGGGUGGAAUUCCGCGUGUAGCAGUGAAAUGCGUAGAGAUGCGGAGGAACACCGAUGGCGAAGGCAGCCCCCUGGGCCAACACUGACGCUCAGGCACGAAAGCGUGGGGAGCAAACAGG
rnacentral:rRNA from 1 species